UUGAACGCUGGCGGCAGGCCUAACACAUGCAAGUCGAGCGGUAGCACAGAGAGCUUGCUCUCGGGUGACGAGCGGCGGACGGGUGAGUAAUGUCUGGGAAACUGCCUGAUGGAGGGGGAUAACUACUGGAAACGGUAGCUAAUACCGCAUAAUGUCGCAAGACCAAAGUGGGGGACCUUCGGGCCUCAUGCCAUCAGAUGUGCCCAGAUGGGAUUAGCUAGUAGGUGGGGUAACGGCUCACCUAGGCGACGAUCCCUAGCUGGUCUGAGAGGAUGACCAGCCACACUGGAACUGAGACACGGUCCAGACUCCUACGGGAGGCAGCAGUGGGGAAUAUUGCACAAUGGGCGCAAGCCUGAUGCAGCCAUGCCGCGUGUGUGAAGAAGGCCUUCGGGUUGUAAAGCACUUUCAGCGGGGAGGAAGGCGGUGAGGUUAAUAACCUCAUCGAUUGACGUUACCCGCAGAAGAAGCACCGGCUAACUCCGUGCCAGCAGCCGCGGUAAUACGGAGGGUGCAAGCGUUAAUCGGAAUUACUGGGCGUAAAGCGCACGCAGGCGGUCUGUCAAGUCGGAUGUGAAAUCCCCGGGCUCAACCUGGGAACUGCAUUCGAAACUGGCAGGCUAGAGUCUUGUAGAGGGGGGUAGAAUUCCAGGUGUAGCGGUGAAAUGCGUAGAGAUCUGGAGGAAUACCGGUGGCGAAGGCGGCCCCCUGGACAAAGACUGACGCUCAGGUGCGAAAGCGUGGGGAGCAAACAGGAUUAGAUACCCUGGUAGUCCACGCCGUUAACGAUGUCGAUUUGGAGGUUGUGCCCUUGAGGCGUGGCUUCCGGAGCUAACGCGUUAAAUCGACCGCCUGGGGAGUACGGCCGCAAGGUUAAAACUCAAAUGAAUUGACGGGGGCCCGCACAAGCGGUGGAGCAUGUGGUUUAAUUCGAUGCAACGCGAAGAACCUUACCUGGUCUUGACAUCCACAGAACUUUCCAGAGAUGGAUUGGUGCCUUCGGGAACUGUGAGACAGGUGCUGCAUGGCUGUCGUCAGCUCGUGUUGUGAAAUGUUGGGUUAAGUCCCGCAACGAGCGCAACCCUUAUCCUUUGUUGCCAGCGGUUAGGCCGGGAACUCAAAGGAGACUGCCAGUGAUAAACUGGAGGAAGGUGGGGAUGACGUCAAGUCAUCAUGGCCCUUACGACCAGGGCUACACACGUGCUACAAUGGCAUAUACAAAGAGAAGCGACCUCGCGAGAGCAAGCGGACCUCAUAAAGUAUGUCGUAGUCCGGAUUGGAGUCUGCAACUCGACUCCAUGAAGUCGGAAUCGCUAGUAAUCGUAGAUCAGAAUGCUACGGUGAAUACGUUCCCGGGCCUUGUACACACCGCCCGUCACACCAUGGGAGUGGGUUGCAAAAGAAGUAGGUAGCUUAACCUUCGGGAGGGCGCUUACCACUUUGUGAUUCAUGACUGGGGUG
rnacentral:rRNA from 1 species